rnacentral:rRNA from 1 species
GACGAACGCUGGCGGCGUGCUUAACACAUGCAAGUCGAACGAAGAGCGAUGGAAGCUUGCUUCUAUCAAUCUUAGUGGCGAACGGGUGAGUAACGCGUAAUCAACCUGCCCUUCAGAGGGGGACAACAGUUGGAAACGACUGCUAAUACCGCAUACGAUCUAACCUCGGCAUCGAGGAUGGAUGAAAGGUGGCCUCUAUUUAUAAGCUAUCACUGAAGGAGGGGAUUGCGUCUGAUUAGCUAGUUGGAGGGGUAACGGCCCACCAAGGCGAUGAUCAGUAGCCGGUCUGAGAGGAUGAACGGCCACAUUGGGACUGAGACACGGCCCAGACUCCUACGGGAGGCAGCAGUGGGGAAUCUUCCGCAAUGGACGAAAGUCUGACGGAGCAACGCCGCGUGAGUGAUGACGGCCUUCGGGUUGUAAAGCUCUGUUAAUCGGGACGAAAGGCCUUCUUGCGAAUAGUUAGAAGGAUUGACGGACCGAAUAGAAAGCCACG